rnacentral:rRNA from 1 species
UUUGAUCCUGGCUCAGAUUGAACGCUGGCGGCAUGCCUAACACAUGCAAGUCGAACGGCAUCGCGGGAGCUUGCUCCUGGCGGCGAGUGGCGGACGGGUGAGUAAUAUGUAGGAAUCUACCUUGAAGUGGGGGAUAACUUAGGGAAACUUAAGCUAAUACCGCAUAAUAACUACGGUGGAAAGCAGGGGAUCUUCGGACCUUGCGCUUUAAGAUGAGCCUACAUCGGAUUAGCUAGUUGGUGGGGUAAAGGCCUACCAAGGCGAUGAUCCGUAGCUGGUCUGAGAGGAUGACCAGCCACACUGGGACUGAGACACGGCCCAGACUCCUACGGGAGGCAGCAGUGGGGAAUAUUGGACAAUGGGGGCAACCCUGAUCCAGCAAUGCCGCGUGUGUGAAGAAGGCCUUAGGGUUGUAAAGCACUUUCAGUGGGGAGAAAGGGCUUGAUGCUAAUACCAUCAGGCAUUGAUGUUACCCACAGAAGAAGCACCGGCUAACUCUGUGCCAGCAGCCGCGGUAAUACAGAGGGUGCGAGCGUUAAUCGGAAUUACUGGGCGUAAAGGGUGUGUAGGUGGUUAUAUAAGUUAGAUGUGAAAUCCCCGGGCUCAACCUGGGAACUGCGUUUAAGACUGUAUGACUAGAGUACUGUAGAGGAUAGUGGAAUUUCCAGUGUAGCGGUGAAAUGCGUAGAUAUUGGAAGGAACACCAGUGGCGANAGGCGACUAUCUGGACAGAUACUGACACUGAGACACGAAAGCAUGGGGAGCAAACAGGAUUAGAUACCCUGGUAGUCCAUGCUGUANAACUAUGAGAACUUGCUGUUGGAUGCAUAAAGGCAUUUAGUAGCGAAGCUAACGCGUUAAGUUCUCCGCCUGGGGAGUACGGCCGCAAGGCUAAAACUCAAAGGAAUUGACGGGGGCCCGCACAAGCGGUGGAGCAUGUGGUUUAAUUCGAUGCAACGCGAAGAACCUUACCUACUCUUGAAUCCACGGAAUCCUGCAGAGAUGCGGGAGUGCCUUCGGGAACCGUGAGACAGGUGCUGCAUGGCUGUCGUCAGCUCGUGUCGUGAGAUGUUGGGUUAAGUCCCGUAACGAGCGCAACCCCUAUCCUUAGUUACCAGCGAGUAAAGUCGGGGACUCUAGGGAGACCGCCGGUGACAAACCGGAGGAAGGUGGGGAUGAUGUCAAGUCAUCAUGGCCCUUACGAGUAGGGCUACACACGUGCUACAAUGGUUGGUACAAAAGGCAGCUAAGUCGCGAGAUGGAGCAAAUCCUGAAAAACCAAUCGUAGUCCGGAUUGGAGUCUGCAACUCGACCCCAUGAAGCUGGAAUCGCUAGUAAUCGUGGAUCAGAACGCCACGGUGAAUACGUUCUCGGGCCUUGUACACACCGCCCGUCACACCAUGGGAGUGGGUUGCACCAGAAGUGGUUAGACUAACCUUCGGGAGGUCGAUCACCACGGUGUGAUUCAUGACUGGGGUGAAGUCGUAACAAGGUAGCCGUAGGGGAACCUGCGGCUGGAUCACCUCCUU